rnacentral:rRNA from 1 species
ACGAUCAGUAGCCGACCUGAGAGGGUGAUCGGCCACAUUGGAACUGAGACACGGUCCAAACUCCUACGGGAGGCAGCAGUGGGGAAUAUUGCACAAUGGGCGAAAGCCUGAUGCAGCAACGCCGCGUGAGUGAUGAAGGCCUUCGGGUCGUAAAACUCUGUCCUCAAGGAAGAUAAUGACGGUACUUGAGGAGGAAGCCCCGGCUAACUACGUGCCAGCAGCCGCGGUAAUACGUAGGGGGCUAGCGUUAUCCGGAUUUACUGGGCGUAAAGGGUGCGUAGGCGGUCUUUCAAGUCAGGAGUGAAAGGCUACGGCUCAACCGUAGUAAGCUCUUGAAACUGGGAGACUUGAGUGCAGGAGAGGAGAGUGGAAUUCCUAGUGUAGCGGUGAAAUGCGUAGAUAUUAGGAGGAACACCAGUUGCGAAGGCGGCUCUCUGGACUGUAACUGACGCUGAGGCACGAAAGCGUGGGGAGCAAACAGGAUUAGAUACCCUGGUAGUCCACGCUGUAAACGAUGAGUACUAGGUGUCGGGGGUUACCCCC